ACCCCGUCCCGAACCAUGUCGGAAAUUUUUGCACGUUAACCGAGGUUGACUGUUGACCGUUGACCGAAGGGGUCAAAAGUUGACUUUUUGAUCCGGUUGAAAUUCUAGGUUGACUGAGGUACCGUUACGAAGUACACGUUGGCACGAGUUCGUAGACUGGUAGCACGUUGAAAACGGAGCUACGGUUUGAAAGUUAUGAGCAAAACAAGUUGAGGUCCAAACUGUCCAAGGGGUGCCGGAGUUGACUUUUUAUUCAUGCAAGGUUGAGCUUUGACUCAUGCAUGGUUGUGAAGUGCUCGUCGAUACGAGUCCGUAGACUAGCGGCACGUCCGAUUUGGACAUGUGGUUUGAAAGUUAUGGACCUGUAAAGUUUUUCAAAUACUGUAUUAUUUUAAUAUUAUUUUUACACGCAUAACGAUGUGCCACGUGUGACUCAAUGAAGGUGGCCAUGUGUCACCAUGGUGAAAUUCCACAUGUCAACCAUGUGAAAAAAUCAAAUUAUUUUAUUAUUUUUGAAUAAUAAAAUUAUUAUUAAUAUUAUUUAAUUAUUUCUUUUUUAUUUCUUUUUCUUUUCCUUUUUCUUUUCCUUUUUCUUUUUCUUUUUCUUUUCUUUUCCCCACGUGGGAAAACACCAAUCCUUUCUUUUUCUUUUUCUUUUUCUUUUUUUUUCUUUUUCCUUCUUCUUCCCCGAAAUACACACACACACACGCAGCUUUUCUUUCUUCUCUCCCGACCGUCCCUCUCUCUCCUGUGUUUCAAAUUCCGGCCACCCAUAGCCCUCACGCGCCAGCCACCAAGGAAGCCCGCCACCUCGCGAGCUUGGCCGCCAAUUUUCACGGCCAGCCGCCGCCGGACGCGCGCCGAUCGGGCCGGAGAAGCCGCCGGCCGCCGGAUUUUCUCUCUCCUCUUUUCUUGUGUUUUCUGGCCAGCCCACUCCCAAUUGAGCCUCCUAUCCCCCUAUUUUGGGUCCUCUGAAUCCAAAAAUGGCCUCCAAUCUCAAAAAUUCGAAGCGGUUUGCGAGAUAUGGAGAAGUGAACACCGGCCGAAACUUUCCGACCAAAUUCCGGCCACCUCCGGCGGAAUUGGGGUCGACGGAGACCGGAUUGGUGAUCCUCGUCCCACGAGCUUCGAUUCGGAGCACCGGUGAGUCGUAGAAUUGAUCCCGUGGUAGAUCAUGGGUUAAUUGCGUGCUCCAGGUGAGUGACCCACCUUUAAAAAUAUUUUCGGGGUAAUUAAUUGUAUUUAUGUGGUAUUAAUUUGGUAUCUGUAAAAUUGUGCUCAUGUGGUGUAUUUUAAAUACAAUCGGGAAAAAUAUUAUUUUAUAUAUAUAUUUACCAUUGGUAAUAAAUGGAAAUUUUGGGAUCAUUAAGAAAUUCCCGAUUAUUAUUUUAUGGUGAUUUAAUUAUGAAUUAUAUUGUUGUUUAAUUUAUUAUGCAUGAGCAAAGUGAAUUUUGGUGGUAUUUGUACGUGGUUUUAAAUUUGAUUUUCAGGGCAUAAUUGGGUUAAAUAUUUUACGAAAAUAUUUGGUUAUAUUUUAUAAAUUAUGCCCGCGGUAUUUUUAUGGUUGCAUCUCGUAUUUCGAGGAAAAUUGUGGUUUGUUGGUUAUCGCUGUUUCGUACCGGGUUGUUUAAAUAAAAAUAUGUGGGAUGGUGUUUUGUGAAAAUAUGGUAUACUUCCCACGGUGGUUUUUGGAAAAACGGUACGGUUGGUUAUUAUUGUUUAUUUUUAGACGCACUCAUACAGUAUUGGUGUUCUGGUGUAUGGUGUAUGGACACGUGGUUUAGCACGCGGUUAUUAUGUGGUUUAGCGUGCGGUUAUUACUUCACCCGUGAGUUGCCAUUGGACCGUGGGCAGGCAAGGUUAUUGUUGCGCACAGCCGCCCCCCUCCUUGGCCGGGUGAUGGUUUUUAGCAGUCGGUACUGUCGAGACGCCGAAGUGACCACUGCAGGUUUCUCUCUUUAACCUCCCGCCAGUCGGUGCUCGGGACGCUGGGUAUCGGAGGGCAUCACCGGUAUAUGGUGUGGUGCGUCAGGUGUAAUUGUCGGUGUAAAAUUGCAAAUAAUGUUUUAAACCCCAAAGGUGUUCAAAAAAAAUUAUUUAUUAUAAUUUAUUACAGAAUAUUUAUAUUUGGGGUAUUUAUUUAUUUGUUUAUUUGUUGUUUAUUAAUUCGUUUGGUUCCUUGGUUUUUGGGAAGUACGUACAUCGGGUUUUGUGAAAAUGUUUUAAAAGGGAAACUUUUCCAACGAAGUGACUAGUGAGGGUUUUGAGAGAAAGUAUUACUUCAAUUGUUUAUUUAUUUAUUUAUUUAAUUGUUCGGUACUGGUUAAUUAAAUUUCCUUAUUUUUAUAUUAUUAUUAUUAAAGGUGUUUAGUAGAUAGGGUCACUCACUGAGAUGAUUAGCAUCUCACACUCUUAAAUUCCGUUCCCCUAGGUCCAGGUUGGAGACGUUGAUUGUCCGGGGCGAGCCCAACGUCUCAGUUCGUUGCCGAAGGUUCAAGAAGUUUUUCUUCCCUUUUUCCUCUCUAUUCUGUAUUGCUUCUUUAUCUGUUAUUUUUAUAAAUUCCACAUUUGUCGUAUAAUGCUCUGUAUACUGUAUUGGACGUGUCGUUGUUUUUAUGCACUGGGUUGCUGCUGUUGUUUUA